rnacentral:sRNA from 1 species
UCUCGAGUUUUUGGGAUUUUAUUGCCUU